UUUAAAGAAACAAGAAUAUAAUUUUACAAAAAAACGGAGAUUUAAUGUAGCUGGAGCCCAGAAAAGAAAUGCAGAAAUUGAAGGAAAAAACGGUGGAGGAUGAAGAGCAACCGAAAAGUACUGGACCGGCACUUGAAGACCUCAAUUGGACUGGUAGAUGCAUAACUGGAAGACAUUGCAAAUUCAUGUGAAGAACAAAAACCCGCUGAGUGGAUUACACUGGAUUAUAGCAAGCUUAGAUAAGUAGCAAAAAUAUUUUCUUUUAUAUCAAGUAGUGUUUCUUCGUGGUUUUUUUUGUUGUUUUCUUUUUAGGAAAAGAGAAAAAUGAACUGUGACGUUAUGACGGAACAUUUUCCCGGCUGUGGCAUCCUUGUUGAAAGAUGACAAAACAGUGAUGUGCUGAUGGGUUGCUGGAGAAUAAAAGGUGUGUUGCUGGAGAACAACGAUAUUGAUACCGAAUUAGCCACAUUGUAAUGGUAAUUGGUCUUCACCUGUAAUGAGAAGAGCAGAGGGAUAGUAGGAAGAAGUUAUAGCGCCUUAUCUCGCUUUCCGGAAAUUCAGGAAGUGGGAAUUAGGAAAAAGAAAAAAGUAGAGGCAUCCAAUACAAAUAUUUCUAACCUAAUCAACAAAUCAUUUCAAAUUAUUUGCCACAUCACAGCGUCAUAAAUGAAAGUAGCUCAAAAUUACGAGUGGUUUUUGAUACAUCCCGGCCUACUUCGAAUGGUUCACCAUUAAAUGACAAAACAUUAAAGGGCCCAGUCAUACAGGAUGAUUUAUCUACUCUUCUAUUACGUUUUCGAAAAUAUAAAAUUGCAUUUACAACAGAUUUGCAGAAGAUUUAUAGGCAAAUCCGAAUUGCACCACAACAUGCCGAUUAUCAAAGAAUAGUCUGGGGAGCUUCUUCGAGUCAAUCAAUUCAAGACUACAAAUUAACUGCAGUAACAUUUGGUACAAAAUCAGCACUGUUUCUAGCAACACAAGUAUUAAAAGAGUUGGCGAUAGAUGAAAAGAUAAACUAUCCUAUUGCAUCAACAAAAGGCAUUGGAAAAACAAUUAUUGGACAUGAUAGCUUCGGUCGGAUUCUCAUUGUGCAAGUGGUCAUCAAAUGCAGCUGAGCUACUAGAAGCCCUUCCACAAGAACAUCGAGAAAUCAAUUGGCCUUUAAAAAUUGAAGAAGCUGAAACAGUCAGAACAUUAGGCAUGCAAUGGGAUCCAGCAAACGACCAAUUUUCGUAUAAAAUUUCCCUACUAGAAAAUGAUUCACAGAAAUGGACAAGGCGAACAAUUCGAUCCUCUCGGCUGGUUGGCACCUUGUAUCAGUAGAUACAAUUUUAAGUGACAAAAUGGUUACGCCACACAUAAAUGGUUCUGGAUGAAAUGGAAUUAAUUAUGGGAUUGGCGUGGGUAAGUUUACAAUAUUUCCUUUUUUUAAAUCAUAUUGUUUGUUAGGUUUAUCUAAUAACAUACACUAAAAAAAUUUAGUUUAAAUUUAAAAACACAAAAAUUGUCUUACAAAACCAAAGAAAUUCUUUAAAAAAAUUUAGAAUUUAAUUUAAAACAAGUUGAAAAAUAAGCAUUUAUUAAAUAAGCUUAUUUUUUAUAACAUUUAAAAAAUAAGCAUUUAAACCAAUGGUUUGUAAAACAGUACUUUUCCUUUCAACAAGUGAAAAUAUUAGCUUUUAAGAACAACCUUAUACAAUAUUAAAUUUUCUUUUAUUCAUAUUAUACAAAAUUAUACAUAAAACUAUUUAGGAGCAGCAAACAAGGAAAAAAAUUUAGAAGGAGCAUUGCGGAGCUAAUGAGCUAUUACGAAAAUGUACGGUUAGGAAAGUGAGUUAAAAAAAUAAUUGUUAAGGAAAUAACUUUUUAGUAAAAAUAAGUUUAGAUUGAAAUUUCACCAUUUCAACAGGAUGUAGAAGCUUAUAUGAUAAACAAUUUGAAACCUAUGAAGGCUUAAAAAUUUGCCGUGUAGUUUUAAUUCUUUUUAUAAAAUAUUGACGAACAUAGAAUCUGUUGACCAUUUUUAUUGACAUUAACAUAUUUACAUUAAAUUUCUUUUGGAGCGGUUCACUUUUAUUCAACUGAUCAUUUUUAACAUGGACUAAUCAUGAAUAAUCCUGCCUUUGUAAGUUUAAGAUAUUUUGUUGCUUCUGAAGACGGUUUUUGAACAUAUAUAUAUAUACAUACAACUCAAAUAUAAACUUUAAAACAGAAAAAGGACAAAACGUGUGGAAAAGAGAACGAAUUAGCAAACGCGGAAAGAGAAAUAUUGAUUUCUAAUGUUAUUCAAUUUUUUAUAAAGAUAAAUAUAAUAAAAUGUAUAUAAAAAUGUAAUCAUUUAGUUUAAAGUUUCGCUUAAUUGAUUAAUUAAGUCACCACUUCUAUUAGUAAUAAACAUUUUUUAAACAAUUUGAUACUUAUUUGCAAAGAUAUAUUAUAAUUUAAUAACAUAAAAAAACGUAGAAGUACAUAAAUGUGAAAAUGUAAUGUAAAAAUUUUAAGUUUA